AUGUAUUUUCUCUUCAUUCAUUUACUCGUUGAAAUUUUUGUUUCUCUUGAAUUGUGUCUAUUUGUGAAAUUUAAUGAACGCUUUCCAGUUCAUGGUCAAUCUCUGCACCAAGUUCAGAUUUUACCAGUGGAUUUCAUUAUUGCAGAUCAAUAAUGAAACAGUUGGAACCACCUUAUUGUUUAGGGUGUAAACUUUGCCUCUGAUAUAAGAGUAUAAUUUCUUGAUUGCUUUGCACAAUUAAAUGCAAGCCCAUGGCAACAUAAGAUAUUUUUUACCUCAAAUAUUGUUUCUAUUACUAUAAGUUUAAAGAAUCUUUUUUAUAUUAGGAAGGAAUCACUCCAUUAAAUUGAUCUCUUUUACUGUUCUGUUUUUGCUCUAUAUCUGGUAUAUUUGGUAACACUUGAAGUUCAUCUAAUGUGCUUUCCUGAAUUAGUUUGUAUUCCAAUGGUUAGAUGGAGUAGAGAAUUGAGGAAAAAAUUUCUGGAUAAUUCAAUUAAAAACAUAAAUUAAUAAGCACCUAUUAUCGAGUAAACAUAGAAAUUUACAUAUUUCUAUAUUGAUGAUUGCACAUACUUCCUUUUUUUUUGAAGUUGAUAUUAGCUGUGUUUUUACAUCCCACAUUUUCACUGUGGCAAUAAAAUGCUAAGAAUUUUAUCUACUUGCCGCAUGAUACAUGGUAUUCCGUUAGGCCUUGCAAAAAUAGGCUUAUCAGCUGACUCAUCCUGAAUUUCUUCUUCACUCUUUGUUCAGUUACAGACCGGAUUUUAGGAGGCUAUUAAGUUUCUUUACUGUCUUUUUUAUUCUUGACUGUAUUCGAUUUUUUUCUUUUCUUCUUUUCACUCUGAUCUAACUUCCUAAUUAGGAAUGCUUUUGUAAAGAGCCUAAAAGAAAAAUAUGUACCUGAAGAAGCCUGAAAACAUCACUAGCUCAAAAUCUAUACUCAUUUUAAGUGAAUAAACAAUUUGAAGAACAUUAAAGAUGGCCUCCCACUUUGAUGUUCCUCUUAUUGAGGCGAAGGGUCUUCGUUCCCUCCUCUUGAGGCUCCCUGAUUACUUUGGCCAGCAGCAUAAAGUGGGGGUGAGGUGGUUUCUGGCUGAGACUUUGGGAGACUAGCAGCUCCUGCUUCCUAUUGCUCGGACACUUUGCUCUUGGACUCCAGCUGCUGUGCUGUGUGGAAGCCCAAGAAGCCCCGUGGAGGUUCCCACGUGGAAAGGGGUCAAGGCUGAGCUCGUUGACAGCCAACACCAGUUUGCCAGCUAUGCGAGUGCGCCACCUUGGAGGUAAGUAUUCUCCAACCUCAGUCCAGCUGCCCCAGCUCUCACUGGAUAGAGAUAAGCUGUUUCUCCUGAACCCAGCUCAAACCACAACUUGUGAGCAAAAAUAAAUGUUUUAUUUUUUUUAAGCUUUCUUUAGGCCACAAAGUUUUAGGGUGGUUUGUUGUACAGCAAUACAUAAUUUUUUUUAAAGUAAAUAUUUAUUUGGCAGUUCUGCAUCUUAGUUGUGGCCUAUAGGAUCUAGUUCCGUGACCAGGGAUCAAACCCAGUCCCUCUGCAUUGCGGGAAGGGGGCGGGAGGUGGGGGCGCUUCCCAGGUGGUUCGGUAGUAAAGAAUCCACAUGCCA
ensembl:lncRNA